rnacentral:rRNA from 1 species
UGGGGAAUAUUGGACAAUGGGGGCAACCCUGAUCCAGCAAUUCUGUGUGCACGAUGAAGGUUUUCGGAUUGUAAAGUGCUUUCAGCAGGGAAGAAAAAAAUGACGGUACCUGCAGAAGAAGCGACGGCUAAAUACGUGCCAGCAGCCGCGGUAAUACGUAUGUCGCAAGCGUUAUCCGGAAUUAUUGGGCAUAAAGGGCAUCUAGGCGGCCAGAUAAGUCUGGGGUGAAAACUUGCGGCUCAACCGCAAGCCUGCCCUGGAAACUAUGUGGCUAGAGUACUGGAGAGGUGGACGGAACUGCACGAGUAGAGGUGAAAUUCGUAGAUAUGUGCAGGAAUGCCGAUGAUGAAGAUAGUUCACUGGACGGUAACUGACGCUGAAGUGCGAAAGCUAGGGGAGCAAACAGG